rnacentral:rRNA from 1 species
UACGUAGGGUGCAAGCGUUGUCCGGAAUUAUUGGGCGUAAAGAGCUCGUAGGCGGUUUGUCGCGUCGAAUGUGAAAACCCGGGGCUCAACCCCGGGCCUGCAUUCGAUACGGGCAGACUAGAGUUCGGUAGGGGAGUCUGGAAUUCCUGGUGUAGCGGUGAAAUGCGCAGAUAUCAGGAGGAACACCGGUGGCGAAGGCGGGACUCUGGGCCGAUACUGACGCUGAGGAGCGAAAGCGUGGGGUAGCAAACAGG